rnacentral:misc_RNA from 1 species
GAGAGAAAAGAAAGAGGAAAGAGAGAGACGCGCGCGGGAGAAGAAAAAGGAAAGGGAGCCGGUUCGAUUCGACCGGUCCGAUCCGGUCCGGUUCGAUUCGGCCGGUUCGAUUCGAAAUACAAAAUUUUGAAUUUUUACUCUGCCUCGGGACCGAAAACGAGGUCCAAAAAUUCCGAAAAAAUUCCAGAAAAUUCAGAAAAAUACGUAGACUCCA